GUCCAGGUGGGGACUGGGAACAGCUUGGACUGACCUUGGAGGGCUUUUCCGACCUCAGGGAUUCCGGAAUUCCAUUUUCCAAGCGCUGCUCUCCCUUCUCCGGAUUUUUCACCCUGGUACAGAGCUUUGAAGAUGAAAGCG
rnacentral:lncRNA from 1 species